UUAUUAAUUGCUCGAAGUGAUGAUUCUAUGAUUCAGGCCCUACUAUGAUUCUGUGGUUGUCCUGCAGCUGGAAGUCCUUCCCUUGGCAUUUGGAGCAUAAUAGAGGAAAAAGAAGAGCUGUGGGUCUGAUGCAAUGUCUUUUCACUCCUGAUUACUCCCCGCUGCUGAAAUGGCCUUUGGGAACACAGGCUUCGUGAUAGCUACUCUACCUCUCACUGGGUCUGAAUCAGGCAUACACCAAAAGCAAACUGUAAAGCUAAAAAAUAAAAGGACAAACCAGA